AAGCAGGAAACCAUAAGGUAUUAUGGUUUCGGCCCAUAAAUUGGUAUUCAUCACAUACCCCUGCUUU
rnacentral:tRNA from 1 species